rnacentral:rRNA from 1 species
CGCUGGCGGCGUGCCUAACACAUGCAAGUCGAACGAAGCAUCUUGCCCGAGGAAGAGGAGUGCUUGCACGAAUCCAACUCAACUGAGAUGACUUAGUGGCGGACGGGUGAGUAACGCGUGGGUAACCUGCCCUAUACAGGGGGAUAACAGUUAGAAAUGACUGCUAAUACCGCAUAAGCGCACAGCAUCGCAUGGUGCAGUGUGAAAAGCCGAGACGGUAUAGGAUGGACCCGCGUCUGAUUAGCCAGUUGGCAGGGUAACGGCCUACCAAAGCAACGAUCAGUAGCCGGCCUGAGAGGGUGAACGGCCACAUUGGGACUGAGACACGGCCCAAACUCCUACGGGAGGCAGCAGUGGGGGAUAUUGCACAAUGGGGGAAACCCUGAUGCAGCGAACCGCCGCGUGAGUGAAGAAGUAUUUCGGUAUGUAAAGCUCUAUCAGCAGGGAAGAAAAUGACGGUACCUGACUAAGAAGCUCCGGCUAAAUACGUGCCAGCAGCAGC